rnacentral:rRNA from 1 species
CCCUUAGAUGUUCUGGGCCGCACACGCGCUACACUGAAGGAGGCAGCGUGUACUCCUGGAUCGAAAGAUUUGGAUAACCCGCGAAUCUCCUUCGUGCUAGGGAUUGAGGUUUGCAAUUAUCCUUCAUGAACGAGGAAUUCCCAGUAAGUGCAAGUCAUAAGCUUGCGCUGACUACGUCCCUGCCCUUUGUACACACCGCCCGUCGCUACUACCGAUUGAAUGAUUUAGUGAGGACUUCGGACUGGGACCGAUGCGGCUUUCGGGCUGCGUCGGUAUUCUGGAAAGAUGUCCAAACUGUAUCAUUUAGAGGAAGUAAAAGUCGUAACA